rnacentral:rRNA from 1 species
UAGUGGCGAACGGGUGAGUAACACGUGGGCAAUCUGCCCUUCACUCUGGGACAAGCCCUGGAAACGGGGUCUAAUACCGGAUAAUACCUGCCUGGGCAUCUGGGUGGGUUGAAAGCUCCGGCGGUGAAGGAUGAGCCCGCGGCCUAUCAGCUUGUUGGUGAGGUAGUGGCUCACCAAGGCGACGACGGGUAGCCGGCCUGAGAGGGCGACCGGCCACACUGGGACUGAGACACGGCCCAGACUCCUACGGGAGGCAGCAGUGGGGAAUAUUGCACAAUGGGCGAAAGCCUGAUGCAGCGACGCCGCGUGAGGGAUGACGGCCUUCGGGUUGUAAACCUCUUUCAGCAGGGAAGAAGCGAAAGUGACGGUACCUGCAGAAGAAGCGCCGGCUAACUACGUGCCAGCAGCCGCGGUAAUACGUAGGGCGCAAGCGUUGUCCGGAAUUAUUGGGCGUAAAGAGCUCGUAGGCGGCUUNGUCACGUCGGGUGUGAAAGCCCGGGGCUUAACCCCGGGUCUGCAUUCGAUACGGGCUAGCUAGAGUGUGGUAGGGGAGAUCGGAAUUCCU